UACGGAGGGUGCAAGCGUUAUCCGGAUUCACUGGGCUUAAAGGGUGCGUAGGUGGCUUUGUAAGUCAGUGGUGAAAGCCCGGAGCUCAACUCCGGAACUGCCAUUGAUACUGCUUAGCUUGAAUCAGGUCGAGGUGGAUGGAAUAUUACAUGUAGCGGUGAAAUGCUUAGAUAUGUAAUAGAACACCAGUUGCGAAGGCAGUUCACUAGGCCGGUAUUGACACUGAGGCACGAAAGCGUGGGGAUCAAACAGG
rnacentral:rRNA from 1 species